rnacentral:rRNA from 1 species
CCUACGGGAGGCAGCAGUGGGGGAUAUUGCACAAUGGGGGAAACCCUGAUGCAGCGACGCCGCGUGGGCGAAGAAGUAUUUCGGUAUGUAAAGCCCUAUCAGCAGGGAAGAAGAAAUGACGGUACCUGAGUAAGAAGCACCGGCUAAAUACGUGCCAGCAGCCGCGGUAAUACGUAUGGUGCAAGCGUUAUCCGGAUUUACUGGGUGUAAAGGGAGCGCAGGCGGCACGGCAAGCCUGAUGUGAAAGCCCGGGGCCCAACCGCGGGACUGCAUUGGAAACUACCGGGCUGGAGUGCCGGAGAGGUAGGCGGAAUUCCUAGUGUAGCGGUGAAAUGCGUAGAUAUUAGGAGGAACACCAGUGGCGAAGGCGGCCUACUGGACGGUGACUGACGCUGAGGCUCGAAAGCGUGGGGAGCAAACAGGAUUAGAUACCCUUGUAGUC